ACGAACCCUUCGGGGUUAGUGGCGCACGGGUGCGUAACGCGUGGGAAUCUGCCCUUUGCUUCGGAAUAACAGUUAGAAAUGACUGCUAAUACCGGAUGAUGUCUUCGGACCAAAGAUUUAUCGGCAAAGGAUGAGCCCGCGUAGGAUUAGGUAGUUGGUGGGGUAAAGGCCUACCAAGCCGACGAUCCUUAGCUGGUCUGAGAGGAUGAUCAGCCACACUGGGACUGAGACACGGCCCAGACUCCUACGGGAGGCAGCAGUGGGGAAUAUUGGACAAUGGGCGCAAGCCUGAUCCAGCAAUGCCGCGUGAGUGAUGAAGGCCUUCGGGUCGUAAAGCUCUUUUACCAGGGAUGAUAAUGACAGUACCUGGAGAAUAAGCUCCGGCUAACUCCGUGCCAGCAGCCGCGGUAAUACGGAGGGAGCUAGCGUUGUUCGGAAUUACUGGGCGUAAAGCGCACGUAGGCGGUUACUCAAGUCAGAGGUGAAAGCCCGGGGCUCAACCCCGGAACUGCCUUUGAAACUAGGUGACUGGAAUCUUGGAGAGGCGAGUGGAAUUCCGAGUGUAGAGGUGAAAUUCGUAGAUAUUCGGAAGAACACCAGUGGCGAAGGCGACUCGCUGGACAAGUAUUGACGCUGAGGUGCGAAAGCGUGGGGAGCA
rnacentral:rRNA from 1 species